AGUUACUUUUCCAAUAUAGAUGUUUUCAGAAAAGUAUGGGUGUGUCCAAUAAAUUGAUUUUCUAGUUAUUCCAGGGUUUAUAGAAGAGAUAAAUAUUCUCCUAGCUAUUAUACUCACUUAUUUUGUCUGGCAUCCACAGUGUGAUUAGAAAAGGCUUAUUUGCUUUAGCAGGUGCAUGGUAUUUUGCAAGGAUUAGUUCUUUUCCAGGUGAAUGUGUUGAAUGCAAAAACAAGCAUUCACAUCUUUGAUUGUUUAUCAGUGUUAAACAGGAGAUUUUUAUUGUUUAGGGAGUCAUAACCUUCUCUUUAAAUUGGCAGGAAAAACAAAUUUGAUUAAAGGGACCAUCUGUGAUUUCCUGUACUUGUAUCAACCCAGAAGGUUUCCUGAGAAGUGGCCAGAGAGAACCCUCUGCAGGCUCAUAACUCUGCACUUAUCAGCUUGACAUGGGACUGACACUACAGGCACUCUUCCUACGGAGGAAGUCAGCUGCAGACAACACCAUUUGUUGCAAAGCAACACUUUAGUGAGAGUCAUUCUUCUGAAUAAAAAGGAAAGUCUAUACUUUUCAGCCACCCAGGUAAACAACUGACUAUAGAAAUGAGGCAUCAUAAUUCAAAGGUUGCUAAUGCUUUCCAAGCUGUUAUGACAUUACCUGUCAAAUAUAAAAGCAAAAAGAACUUUAUAAGAGAAAUACCUGCUAAUGGAUAUAAAGUGUAGAAGGAUCUUUUUCUAUAUUUAAUGAUGUUUUAAGUAAUUUUAGAGACCACUUGUACAGUUACAAACUUAUGGGUAAAUCCUAUAGAAAACCAAUUCAUGGUGCCUAAAACAGAGAAGUUUUUUGGAAUCCAACUCAUAAGGGUCAGGAGAUAAUGUGAGAUAAUAAAGCAGGUCAUACAGUGCAUGAAUGGCAGGGAAAACUCCAUGGAUUCUUGCCUUAUAUGUCAAACAUUACUGGUGUUUUCUUUAUAAUUUUAAUUUUCCCCUCCUUCUUAUCUUCUGCUUCAUUUGUUUCUUCAUUUUUUUAAAGUCCUAUGGUGUCUGUUACUUGAAAGCUUUAGGUGUUAAAUUAUUAAAUAAUAAGUGACUAUAACAGAAAAUUCACACUAAUUUUCUCAGGGAAAUUGAAAUUGCCUUUGAAAUUGAAGUGACACAUUUUGUAGGCAAGUUUUUUUCAUCUGAUACACAUUCACACAUAUUCAUUUUUGUGUAUAUGUAAACUAGUCACAUUUUUUUUGUCUGCAUAAUCCCACCCCAUACAAGCAACUUCAUUUUCUGAAUAUUAAUAUAAAUUGCAUAAUAACUUCAUUCUCAUUAUGAGAUGCUAUUCUGCAGCAUGAGCAGUAUCCAAAUGGUGGUUUGAUUCAUAUUCUCAUUUCUUAACCUCUUGGAGAGAAAAACAUAAAACUUCCUAAUGCUAAAAGGAUUUUGUAACUUGCAGCUAAAUGGCCACUGUAAUUGAGUUUUUUUCCUCUUAAAAAUGUAAGAAGCUCAUAGGUCUUUGUGUAACUGAAGGUCAGCGUGACUGACUCAUGGCUACAAGCUAUUCUGUUAUACACUGCCACCAUGAAAAGACAAGUACCAAUCUGUGCUUGCACUUUUUAAGGUGCAUUUGUAUUACGACGAACUUCAUACUCAAGCUGAAACUAAAGCAAAGAGCAAAUAGAGCAUAUGAGAGAAAGAGAGAGAUAGAUAAGCAUGUGAAAGAGAAAGACAAACAUGUGUUGUUGACGAUGGUAUCCUUCUUUUUAAUAAGCAGUUUCUAAAAUAAUUCCUUGAGCUCUUUAUGAAUUUGAAUGUGUUUGGGAUCAGCAGGCAUAGGCUGCUUUGCAAGGGGGGACAAGUUGGGAGUCGAAAGUGACAGGCAGAUAGAUUGUCCUGCUUGAAAUCGAUCUAUUUUUAAUAAUUCUUCAUAGUAGUAAUGAAUAAGUGACCUAACUGCAGGGGAGUUGUGAAGAUUGUAGGAGAGAGAUGCACAUAGAAUAUUUUCUUGUGCAGUAUGUUUUCUGUUUUAGCCUUUUGCUUUUGGUGAUAGCAGUUCAUGCUACUAACACAAACAAGUUCCAGCAAGGCUUGUCACUGCAGAAAUCACACACACCUGAAAUUAGAUGUUAUUUCUGUUUGGGCAUGUCAUCUUUUACUUAAAAGGACACCCCAUCAACCAUAAAUCAUAGAUUGGUUUGGGUUGGAAGGGAUCUUAAAGAUCAUCUAGUUCUAUUAUCCCUGCCAUGGCAUCCCUUCUGCUAGACCAGCUUACACAGAAAUUAAAAACACAUUGUUUGUGGGUUUUGUGUGUGUUCUUUUCUUUUUAUUUUUCAUAUAACAUUUAGCAGCAUUUGGGAGAACUAGAGAACUUCAUUUUAAUCAUUAAGAUCCUGCUUAUUAUCUGUUAUUAUAUUACUGCAAUUUUAAUCAUAUUUGCUUGAAGGAAUAAGGCUAUUCUUAUAUCAUAGUUUGUUUCAAUGUGCCAAAAUGUGCUUGAUGGACAAAAUCUGGUGGUUGAAAACUUCCUUUAAGUACCUAUAUAUGCAAAUGAAGUAAUUAAUAUGAGAUUAAAUAUUCAUGAAUCUUUUUGUCUAGCUCUAGUGGACUAAAGGAAGAUGAAUGACUAAAUAUCUAAUUAUUAAAAUGAAACCGCUUCCUUUCAAAGCUUAUUUAUUUUUUACCAAUCACAUGAUUUUCCAAAUGUUUCAUGGUGUGAUUUGUUUGGGUUUUUUUUUAAAUGAUGGUUGGUAUUUUCCCCUCCCGUCUUCACUCUUCCACCCCUUUUCUUGCCUUUCCCAGCCCUCAGCUCGGGAGAGUGAGAGACCAGAUACGCAACCAGUUUUGUAUACCAAACUAGGUGAUUUUUAGCUAACUUUUUGGACAUAUUUAAUAAGAUAAUGUGGACAUUUUUUUUCCUGUGAUUUUUAUGAUAUGGAUAAGGGUUUAUUUUAAUUUGCAUCUCCUUAAAAUACUAAUUUUGAAUGAAAAUUAGUUUAUAGACAACCAAGGGGCAGCUUCCUCAGGGUGGGCAUAUGCCAAUUACAAAUUGGAGCAGUGCAAACAUGUAGGUAAAGUGCUGAAAAUCUUGGCUUUGCUUCCUGGGACACUCCUAGAGACUGUCAGAAACUGCCUUCUAUCUAUCAGCCUGCUCUGUAUACAUCAUAUAUUGGCAUGUGUGCUUCUUUAUAAAAAGUGGCAUAUAUAUAUAGAUGGUUGUUAUGGUGUUGUUUGUCAGCAAUCUUAAGGCCCUCCAGAGACAGUGAUAAGUGUGAUAGCUCUGAUAAAGAUAGGCUUUCAAAUUACAUAAAAACAAAAUAAUAGCAAAACCACCAAAACCCCAGGACAAAAAUACCCCAAAAAACCAAAACAGCGGCCCCAUGCCCAAGCAGUAAAAAUAGUGUUUCUUUUAAAACCCUUCAGAGUAACAGAUCAUACAUAUAUACCACUUAUCUUUCAAAAGGAGUGGCAGAGGAAUGACUCCUAAAAAAAAUGCCUAAAGGAAAAAAAAGUCUUUUUGUUUCAAACUAGAAAAUAGUACUUACAAAAUUCAGUGGAUCUGUCUAUUCCCUAGUCAAUAGUUGCCAGCAGAACCACAUGCCCUGUAAGUAAAUCAGGUUCAAGAAUUCUCUCCAGCUAAGCACAGCAAAUUCCCCUGUAAAUAUGGAUUUCCUAGCAAAUAUUUUCUCUUAGUGGUAAUAUUGUUCUCAUAUGGGACGUCAGCUUUAGCAUUCCUCUAGAGUGCAGCAUUUUUCACCAGUAUUAUACUGGUGUAAUAUAAAAAUAAGUAUUAGUGCUGCACGUUAAAUUCAUAACUUUUCUACUACAGCACCAGAAUAUUUUAGGGACUAGACUGGUAAAAUAAGCAUCCUAGCUAUACCCAUUGGGAGAUUUCCCUUAAUAACAAUAUUUUGCCUUCUGGAAAUCUUCUUAUGCUGUGUAAACUUGUGCAUUUCUCUAAGUGGUUUCUUACUUUUCCCUUCCUUUUAAUUUUUUUAAAUUUCUUUUUUUCCCCAGUCACUCUACAGAGUUAUAGAAUGUCAUGGAAUGAUAAAAUAGUUUGAGUUGGAAGGGGCCUUUGAAAGUUACCAAGUCCAAACCCCCUGCCUUGAGCAGGGAUAUCAUCAUAUCCAGUUGCUCAGAACCCCAUUCAACCUUGAGCAUUCCCAGGAAUGGAGCAUCCACCAACUCACUGUGUAACCUGUGCUAGUGUUUCAUCAGUUAUUGCAAAAAACUUCUUCUUUAGAGCUGAUCAAAUCUAUCCCCUUUAUUUUAAAACCAUUACUCCUUGCUCUGUUGCAACAGGCCCUGCUGAAUGUUGCCUCCAUUUUUCUUUUAUGUCACCUUUAGGUACUGUAAGGCUGCCAUGAACCUUCUUUUCACCAGGUUCACAACUGAAGUUCUCCCAGCCCAGUUUCACAGGAGAGGUGUUCCAGCCUUCUGAGCACCUUCCUCUGGACAUGCUCCAACAGAUCUGUGUCUUUUGUCUACAUUCCUACCUAUUGGUCGACUGCCAUAUAAGAAACCAUUUUUUAUGGACCAACAUUAACUCUAUUGACUAACCUAAGAGGUUAUUUCUGAGCAGUCAAAAGAUUGUUUAUUGCCCUCUUUGGUUAACAAAGAGUAGUAGGAAGUUUAGUUUUAAAUACCUUUUUUUUUUUUAAAGCCUAGGCAGAGAAGCAGAAUGAACAAUGACUUGCCAAAUUUUUCCUGAGUUAUUACCAAGUGUGAACACCUUGAUUUCACAUCAGAAUAUAUUUCUACUUUAAAAUACAGUAUUUAUCUACUGCAAUAUUUACAUCAUCUUAUUAAACUCCUUGGAUAAGCCUUUGGGGUGGUGGUACUAAUUUAAAAUAUAGGGACUAAACUCAGGUUGCAAAUAGACAGUUUUUUCCCACCUUGGUUUUGGGGUAUUCAUGCUAGCUUUCACUAGCAUGAAAUUCUGAUGAGACUCUACCACUUUUUGUUUUGUUUUUCUCCCUCCUACAGUCCCUCCCUAUUCUCUAUAUUCAUGUUUUAUUAUCUGAAACCUGCUUUACACUUCUGUCAAAUCCCUGAGCAUGAAGCUCAUAAAUACUGGCACCUUCUUGUGACAGAAAGAGCACUCAGAGUUGCAGCUCGGCGAUCUUUUAGAGAUUUAAAAGUGAAGCUCUCUUCCAUUUACAAACAUGCCAACAGGUGUCUCUCAGAUAUUCUUUGAUGUAUUUUUUUAUAAAAAAAAAUGUAAAGGGUAGUAAGCAUUUUAGCAUAAGUGACUAAUAUUUCGUUUUCUCUAUCCAAAACAUAAUGAAAGAGUGUUGCAUUCAUAUAAACCAUUUCAAGGCAUGGAAUUCCCAAAGAACCUUAGUCUGCAACCAGAAGUACAUUGAAAGAGAUUUAUUUCUGGACUGCAGUGCCCUCUGCCAGCAGAAACUCCAGCAGAGGAACUGAACAGGUAAUGAAGACUAUCCAUCCACCUAGAGCUUCAAAGCAAGGCAGGUACACAAAUAGAUUUUGAUUGAGGCCACCUGGGCACAGUAACUCUACAGUUUUGAGAGAGUAAUGAUCAGUGAUAAAACAAAUUACAUUUUGUGGCCCAAAUAAUUAUCCUCAAAUACAAUUUUAAUUGAAGUUUAGAUUUCAACUUAGUGUUUCCUUGGAGAUGUUAUAGGCUUCCUAUGUAAGGUCAAAACACUUUAGUAUGUAGAAAAUAAUUUGUCUGAUUGCUUCAAUUGGAUGUAGACAUUUUGCUAAUUUUGUGUUCCUGGAAAGGAUGAAAAGACAGUAAUUAAAGAGAAAAAGAAGCUCUUGAUUGCCUCUCAAAGCAUUAAGAGGACUGUAUGCCUCUUGUAAGCAUUUAAAGGCUAACUGUUAGUGUAUAAAAGGAUAAAUCAUUUUUAAUUAGUUUUUUUGAUGGAAUCAAGUUUUUUUAAAUUGAAUAUUAGAAAUUAAUUGUGUAUGGUAAUGAUUAAUUGCAAGUCAGCUCUAGAUGGGUGCUUCUGGAGAGGCUCCCUGAACAAAGAAACUUCUGGGUCUUUAUACACUCUUGGUAUGUGCACCCAAUCAUCAUCUGCCCUGCAUGUGCCUCUUGGUAUAAUGAUAAUUUGUGGUCUAGGGUCUUAUAACACCUCUUUGGAUUCUUCCUUCAUGUACACAUGGACAGGGCAUUAAUUGUUCUUAUCUUCCCACCUGGGCCAGCCUUGGCCCAGCCCUUUUCUGAAGAUAACCUGUCUCUGUUUAUUCCUCAGCUCAGCCAUUUGUGCUAGCAGAGUUCAUUUCAAGUUCACCUACAACUUUGAGAAGGGCCCAUUAAUGCUAAGCUGUAAGCAAGUUACUAUUGCACUUAAACCUACUCAAUUAAUUUUAAUGUUUUCUAAGUAAACAAUUUCAUUUCCAGUAUUCAGGUGUUGAUAACUUUCUAUGAAACAGAAUUUAUGAAAUUGGUGAAUCCUUUUGAAAUCUCCUAGGUUUGGAAAUCAGAUUAGAGAUAUUUAUACAUCUCUCAAAGACCAAAUUUAUAUACUAACUAUAUAAAUAAAAAUAAGUUGAUGUAUUUUAAUCAAAAUUCCAAUCUUAAUAAUACCAGACAGAUCUGAAAUAUUUCAAAAUGGGACCUAAAUUGUAUGGAAAGAUAUUUUAUUCAAAUGCUAUGCAUAGGAUUAACCUAUUAUUCCUCAUAAAUUCUGGUGAUAUGAUAUCAGUGUGAAAGGAGUCAUAUCAGGCUUCAUUUUGUUUUUUAAAAUAUUAAUAUACUAAUUUUUAGGAGAAAAAACAUAAUCAAUUUCACUUGAAAACCCCCAAUACUUGCAGGAGAUUCUCACUAUUUUUAAUAUGAUUUUAUUUAAUCUCACACAUAAGAAUACUUCUGCCUUAACUGGCAUCUUUAAAAUUAAUGAAUAGGCAGAAAUUUUCUCUCCAAACAUAAGGGACUUUCAUGAUUGCUGAGAAAUGUCCCAUGAUUCUUGGUACCAAAAUAUUAUGAAAGACGUGGUUGAUAUGCUUCAGAUAAUUACAAAAAUUGCUCAUUUAAUGGGAAUGAAAAAUCUAUAGAGGGUUAUUUCUUCAAGCAAUCUUGGAAUUUAAAUGUGAUUUGAGUCAUUUGGUCAUGGCCACUGAUCCUUGCUUUAAAAUUGGAUUUUUAUCCUCCUAUUUGAUUAUUUUAUUUCCCCAUUGGAGAAUUACUGUCUCAGUCUUUCCUUAUAAUUCAACUUGAUAUCAUAUCAUAGACUAAUCAUAUGUACAUGUUGUAUGAACAUGGUUACAGAAAUUGUAUAUGGAUAAUUUCCAAAAGUUGAACUCUGAAAUUUGUGCAAAUUGAAAAUAAAUGAUGCCAUCAUAUAUUUAUGACAUAAUGGGGAAUGCAGUAAUUUCAAGUAAGAAGAGUGAGAACUAGGGUAGAAAAGAUCCCCUUUUUCUUGCUCUGUAAAGGCAAUUAAUGAUUUGUGGCAUUGGCCUAGCAGUGACUGCCUAGCAAAAAUAAAGUGCAAGAUGACUUUUUUCCUGGAAUGGAAAGACGUUGCAUUUAUUGCAACAGGUUUCAAUCAAUUUGCAAAAUCAAAAAUAUAUUCUGAUCAGUAGAUUUUAAAAUUGAUAAAGACACAGCGUGAUGUUUACUUGAUUUGGUUCAUCAUUAUUCAGAUGAAGUAAACUGUUUGUAGACUUUUAUAGAGGAACUGCUAAAAGUUCACAGUUACAUUCUAAAUCUGGAAUUUAAUGCAAUUACAUUUUUUUUUCAUUAAAUAUCAGGUAUAACAUCUCUCCAUUAGUUGGCUCAAACUGCUUUAUUUGUUCAAAAUACCAGAGUACAGACUUCCAGUUUUCAUUAAGUGGUUUACUAAUUCCUGCUGACACCUUUUCCUGUUUACUAAAUGACUUUUCUAUCUCUUCCUUUACAUGGAACUGUUCCUUCUAACUGAUUUAUAUACAAAAAUGUAAGGUAUAAUGCAGAUGUGUUUUUGACAAGCUAACCAAAUGGGAAAGCUAAGAAAAUUUCUCCAGAUGUACCUUAAUGAAAUAGGAAUUAGACAAAUUUCUCUUACCUCUCUCCCCAUUAGGGGGAACCUUUCAUGAAUUUUUUGAGGAAGACCUGUCAGGAAACAGGAGAUAUGGCCUUUUCUAAUGACUAUAUCAAAUGUCCAAAAAUCUCUACAAUGAAAGUGUUUUCUGAAUAGUCACUGACAGAAAACAUUAACUGAAUGUUCUAUACCAGCUGAUGUAAAGAUCAGCCUUGAUGAAAGGAAGAUAAAAUAUUGUGUUAUUACUGUGUUAUUUGUAGAAUUUUCACUGAUACAUAAAGGAAAUGCAUAACAACCAGAGUAAGAACUUUUUUUCCUCUUAGCAUAGGAGAAAAUAAACUUUUGUACGAAUAAAA